rnacentral:lncRNA from 1 species
AAGGGUUUUUUUUCAAUUGGGGCAACAGUAGGAUGACACAGAAAAUGUUGGAGUGAGAGAGAUGAAAGAGAAAGGGUUGAGAGGAAUGAGGGAGGUGACUAAGGGUUUGGGGGUUUCUUUUUUUUUUUUUUAGUUUUGAGAAUGAAAAUUAUUUAAAUAUCCUUUACCUUAAAACUUAGAAUUCAUGAUAAAUGAGGGUAUUUUUGUCUACUAUAAUCCGGUACACAUUGUUAAAACGUACCAACUGAAAAACAGGC